AGAUAGAUAUAGAAGGAGAUUCUUUCAGUCCAGUCAUGGAUAGAAAAAGAAGAGGGUAGAAAUAUCUGCCGACUCAUCCAUCCAAACACUCGUGGUAGAGAAACGAUAAAUUUAAACCGCAGUGACUGUGUGAAUGAUGCGGGAGAUAUUUUUGAUCCUUCUUUAUCUGUGUUUGGACUGAAGGGAGCUCCUUCUUUUUCUACAAAUUUU
rnacentral:pre_miRNA from 1 species